rnacentral:rRNA from 1 species
GAUGAACGCUGGCGGCGUGCCUAAUACAUGCAAGUCGAGCGAACAGACGAGGAGUUUGCUCCUCUGACGUUAGCGGCGGGCGGGUGAGUAACACGUGGAUAACCUAUCGAUAAGACUGGGAUAACUUCGGGAAACCGGAUAUAACACCGGAUAAGAUAUUGAACCGCAUGGUUCAAUAGUGAAAGACGGUUUUGCUGUCACUUGUUGAUGGUUCCUCGCCGCAUUAGCUAGUUGGUAAGGUAACGGCUUACCAAGGCAACGAUGCGUAGCCGACCUGAGAGGGUGAUCGGCCACACUGGAACUGAGACACGGUCCAGACUCCUACGGGAGGCAGCAGUAGGGAAUCUUGGGCAAUGGGCGAAAGCCUGACGGAGCAACGCCGCGUGAAUGAUGAAGGUCUUCGGAUCGUAAAACUCUGUUAUUAGGGAAGAACAAAUGUGUAAGUAACUAUGCACGUCUUGACGGUACCUAAUCAGAAAGCCACGGCUAACUACGUG